rnacentral:miRNA from 1 species
AGGGGCAGCAUGGUGUAGCAG